rnacentral:lncRNA from 1 species
GAGGGUGUAUUACGCUACGACUCCAUCUGGACUAGUAAAAAUGAGCCUGGCAUCACAUCCUUGGGCAUUGAAGGCUUUGUCGACAUGUAGAAUCCAAUGUGAAAACUUUUAGUGUCCUCGAAUCUUGUCGAGGAAGGAUCUUCAACAUCCUCAAAUCUUGUCAAGGAUGGGCCCUCUAUCUUGUUGAGGGCAAUUCUUUGAUAUCCUUGAAUCUUGUCAAGGAUUGGUUUUCAACAUCCUCAGAUCUUGUCAAGGAUGAGCCCUC